AUAACUUUAUCGGCACAGAAGAUGACUAAAGCAAUGCAGGAAACAAUGAUGACUCCUCGCUGUAGAAAACCUGUAAUAGCUAUAUCUGACUCCAAUCUUAGUAACCUGACGGAUCUUCCUUGGAGCCCUAGCCAAAAUUCUGCGGAAAGCCUCAAAGGUGGCUCAAAGAAAGAAAAUAGUGGGAGCAACCGGAACUCAGACACUUCCAACGACUCACAGAAACUCAGCUCUAAAAGCGAUACUAAAAGGAUGGUUUGUCUAACCCAGUAGAUUUCAAUGAUUCACAUCUUCUCACUGACACGUUUUGUGAUUAUUUGUAUAGUCGCAGUUUACUAACUGCAAGCCCUGUCGAUCUAAGUUUUUCAAGUCGAACCGGAGAUUUUGAACAUUCCUCCUCUAACACACUGUCAAUGUCCGAUGGCAUAUCUUUAAUGGACGAUGAUGAUAAAUCCGUCAUUUUCUCCGAUGAGGAAAAACUAAGUCGCUCUUUACUCUAUUUCCUCGAUGGUAAUGAACCUCCUUCCGAUAGCUCAUCUUCGAGCUCCCGAAAACGUUCAGCCAGUGACAGUGGACUAUUUUCUCCCACCGAGUGCCAGAAGAAAAGCCCACGCCAUGCAGCUCCCAAGGCGAAUUGUAAAAAAGAAACUUCUUUGUAACUGGCUGAGUUGUCAGCAUUACUAACCUCCUAAAAAAUACAUCCCACCUUAAAAUGGCUCAAUCGAAAAUGUGUCGUAGAAUAAAUAGUUUUAUUUCCGUCUAAAGAACUGAACCCUAUAGUUUCCAACAUUUGCUUUAGGACACCCUGUAUAAGUAUACGAGAAAAUUUGCAAUGUUGCAAAUCGUGAUGCGUUUUUCUAUUUUUAUCAUUGAUACAAUAUUGAAAGAAAGGUAGAGUGCAAAUAUCACCUUACAUUUUUAGGCGGAAGGAGCUGUGUAAGUGUGCCUUAAAGUGCUCAAGAAGGAGGAGGCAGGCGAAAAUCUAGCGUUAAUGUCAUGGUUCGAAUAAACAUAAAAUUCUGUGGUAAUAUUUUUGUUUGGAAAUGAGUUUUGGGCAACAUUUACUAGAAAUCACACCAACAGUGACAAAUUUCUGAUUCGUACCACAGAGCAAAGAAUCUUGGAAAAGGUUAAUAGGGCCGUUCAUAAGCUAUGUAAAAAUGAAAAUCGGAAUUUUAGAUUUUCCUGCAACCUUCUAAAAAAAAUUAUGCAAUGUUUUUUCGACGCCUCCGCCUCUCCCCCUUCAAAUUAGCGUUUUGUGAUGAAUUUUUUAUGAAAAAUUGCCACCUCACAUCGAUUUUCAUCUUGUAGGAUUUUCGAAGAUUGGCGCUACGCGCCCAUUCUUGCAAUACGCAUCGCAGCCAAACUCCUGGGAAGUUUCGCUCUGCACGUUGCAUCUAAGAUUCCGUACCUUUAAUUCACCUACAUACCUAUGCACAAUGUAUAUCAGAUGCAUACUUUGUAGUAGUUCAAAACCAACCCAUCCCUAAAGUAGCUUGAUUCUAGUUAUGGAAAAAGGUGUGCUUCCAGUAAUUUGCCAUGAAAGUCGACUGUGGUUGAUAAAAUCAUUGGAUUCAUGAAUUUCCUUCACCAGAAAAUGUGUCUACCCACAUUGAAUCCAUCCUUCUCAAAAGACCCAAGCGCCAGGAUAAAAAAUACAAAAAAAAGUCAAAACCGUUCAAAUUGAGUCAUUCUAAAUCUCAAAGCUCUAAAAUAUUGAAAUUUAUAACUAAUUAAUACCGAUUUAAUAAUAAUCUAUGUUUUGAAUCUAAUCAAUUAAUAUAGUUUCCACUAUUUUUCUCUUAGUAUUAUUCUGAAGCUUAAGUCUUUUUAAGAAUGAUAGAUUCAAUGCAAAAGUUUUUUUUCUUUCUUUUUUCACUUUCUUUUCUCACUUUCUCACAAUAUUUCACCAAACCUCAUAUCAGUGCCUAUAAUUGUUGAAAUGGACUCCAUUUUGCCAUGAGAAACGACAGUCUCUAACUCACUGCGCAGAAGCACAUAUCUGUAUGUGGAAAAUAAUGAUAUGUUGUUUCUGCAAUGAACCACACAAUGCUUCACAUUGUAAAAUGAGUUCUUCAUGGUUGAAGUGGUUAUAAUUAGACACUAAUGUGCAAUGCACAAAAUCAUGCCAAAAAUUGGAUGGGAUUCAGCAAAUGGGUACCAACGUGAUUAACUUUUUCAAAAUCGUGCAACUUCUUCUUUGAUUUAAAAAUACUAAAUCUAUGCACAGAAAUCAAACAGUAAUAAAAGGGGCAUCAAUACAGGCCGUUUUUGGACCCACCCUUAAUUUCCCUAACUCUACAAUUUUCUGCCCAUUUUAGGUCUUUGUAUUCCGCAAUUGUAUUCUGGAUCAUGAUCAUUCCAAUCAUGAUCCAGUCAUUUUCAAUCUCUUUUCAGGCCUAAUACUGGCCUUAAUAUGGGUGUGGAGGCUGAUUUUUGCGAAAUAUGCGGAUUUUCGACAUUCGACCGCCAACCCCCAAAUUCUGCAUUUUUUUGUCCGUCAGACUCAUGUUUAGGCCAGUAUUAGCCCUGAUCAAGGACUGGAAAUGACCAAAUCAUGAUGUAUCCUGUUGUAGAUAAACCCUCAAUUAGCAAAAAAUUGUAGAGUUGAAAUUUAGCUAUGAUAGACCCAGGAACAGCUGCUAUCUAUAAGCUUACUCUGUACAAUUAUUUUCCUUUAAAAUUGACAAUUUCUUGGUAGAAAAAAUAACUUUCCUACAGAACGCUUUUAUUAGAUGAAGAAGCUUGGUUUUUAAAACAAUGUAAUCGCUUUGGUUUCCUUCUACUAAAUUCAAUCCAAUUUAUACAGCUGAAUUUUUUCUUUUUCUUUCUUCUAAAAGGUACAUUUAAUCAUUAAAUGUUGAUCUACAUAUAUCUUUGUAUUUUGUGCUCGAUGCUACACGUACGUUCUUUGCUUACCGAACUCACUCCAAGAAAUAAUUAUACUGCUUUGUUGAAUCAGAUGUCACUGAAUCAAGUUUGCCAUGUUGUGCGAUAAAUUUGAAUACUAUUUUACAUUGUUAUAAAUGAAGAAAAGUGCUGAUUUUUUAGCUCUAUCUGUCAUCAGUGCUCUGAAUACAUUUCUGUGUGUGAGCUCAUUCCCCAUAGUGUAUUCAAGUAAGAACCAAAUGACGAACCGUACUUAUAACUGGAAUGCAUAUGUUCUCAAAUUUCAAACUGAUCCGUCAUUUUCGGAGAUGUAAGAUCAUCAGAUUUUACGAAUGAUUCCUUGAAGCAUUGUCAAAAUAUUAUCCACAUUGCAAAAAAACAGAUUAUGAAUUUGUUUAGUUUCAAGCCUUUAUUGUUUUUUACUUAUAUAUGCAUAUUAUUGUCUAAAUAUUUAUUUUGUGUAUAUUUUAAACAUGUACACACUGUAUGAUAAAAUAUUUAUUGCUUAUUUCCAUAUAUUUGAUAAUAUAUAAAUGUAUACAUUUUCUAUUACUUUGUUCUAUUUUUAAUGAAAAUUCUACAUGUGACCAGAUCUGUGAAUACUGGGAGAUAAUUUAUCUUAACUUUUGCAAAUGCACAGAGGUUGAAAAUAUGGACUUUUUGGUACAAACAAGUUUGA
rnacentral:lncRNA from 1 species